UACGUAGGUCCCGAGCGUUGUCCGGAUUUAUUGGGCGUAAAGCGAGCGCAGGUGGUUUAUUAAGUCUGGUGUAAAAGGCAGUGGCUCAACCAUUGUAUGCAUUGGAAACUGGUAGACUUGAGUGCAGAAGAGGAGAGUGGAAUUCCAUGCGUAGCGGUGAAAUGCGUAGAUAUAUGGAGGAACACCGGUGGCGAAAGCGGCUCUCUGGCCUGUAACUGACACUGAGGCUCGAAAGCGUGGGGAGCAAACAGG
rnacentral:rRNA from 1 species